rnacentral:rRNA from 1 species
AUGUGUAUGUUUUUUGGACUCAUGGCAACUUUGUGGCUCGUCGGAAGCGCUCUGGCUGCUUGUCCUUCCUGCCCGCUCCGCGAACUCUCUUCUUAUAGAGGUGAUGAUGAUGAAGUUCUCACAUGCAUCCCCUUAGGUUUGUAUCUACUUGCGAGCUUGGUUCACCGUCUUCACCCUUACCUCUUUGUUGUUGUGGCAUGCACCACAUACGUACUUUCAAGAACCAUUGGUUUUCAUUAUCUGGAGAGGUCUAUUGCUACUUUGCUAGUGCAACAUUUUACCUUAAUAGACACAAUGUAA